rnacentral:tRNA from 1 species
GGUUAUUUAGCUCAGUUGGUAGAGCGCUCCACUGGAAAUUGUGAGGUCCCUGGUUCGAUGUCAGGAUAAGGCG